rnacentral:rRNA from 1 species
GACGAACGCUGGCGGCGUGCUUAACACAUGCAAGUCGAACGGAAAGGCCCUGCUUUUGUGGGGUGCUCGAGUGGCGAACGGGUGAGUAACACGUGAGUAACCUGCCCUUGACUUUGGGAUAACUUCAGGAAACUGGGGCUAAUACCGGAUAGGAGCUCCUGCUGCAUGGUGGGGGUUGGAAAGUUUCGGCGGUUGGGGAUGGACUCGCGGCUUAUCAGCUUGUUGGUGGGGUAGUGGCUUACCAAGGCUUUGACGGGUAGCCGGCCUGAGAGGGUGACCGGCCACAUUGGGACUGAGAUACGGCCCAGACUACUACGGGAGGCAGCAGUGGGGAAUAUUGCACAAUGGGCGGAAGCCUGAUGCAGCAACGCCGCGUGCGGGAUGACGGCAUUCGGGUUGUAAACAGCUUUCGCCUGUGACGAAGCGUGAGUGACGGUAAUGGGUAAAGAAGCACCGGCUAACUACGUG